AAAUGCGAUAAGUAAUGUGAAUUGCAGAAUUCAGUGAAUCAUCGAGUCUUUGAACGCACAUUGCGCCCCCUGGCAUUCCGGGGGGCAUGCCUGUCCGAGCGUCAUUGCUGCCCUUCAAGCCCGGCUUGUGUGUUGGGUCGUCGUCCCCUCCGGGGGACGGGCCCGAAAGGCAGCGGCGGCACCGCGUCCGGUCCUCGAGCGUAUGGGGCUUUGUCACCCGCUCGAUAAGGACCGGCCGGGCGCCAGCCGGCGUCUCCAACCUUUUUUUCUCAGGUUGACCUCGGAUCAGGUAGGGAUACCCGCUGAACUUAAGC
rnacentral:misc_RNA from 1 species